UACGAGAGGCCCAAACGUUAUUCGGAAUUACUGGGCUUAAAGGGUGCGUAGGCGGCGCGGUAAGUCGGGUGUGAAAUCUCGGAGCUUAACUCCGAAACUGCAUUCGAUACUGCCGUGCUUGAGGACUGGAGAGGAGACUGGAAUUUACGGUGUAGCGGUGAAAUGCGUAGAUAUCGUAAGGAAGACCAGUGGCGAAGGCGGGUCUCUGGACAGUUCCUGACGCUGAGGCACGAAGGUCAGGGGAGCAAACGGG
rnacentral:rRNA from 1 species